AUGCCUCAAACUAAUGAGUAAGGAAAUUAUGAGACCUUAUUGACCUAAGGUCAUCAACUGCCCUUUGGGCAGUUAAGGCCCUUAAUUUUUGAAGGGGUUACGGUUGCAAUUCAAAUGCGUGACUUGCCUACUAUUUGCAAGUUGCCUUUGAUUGUUAACUUUACCCC